CCAUUCUCUCCCGGCGAUCCCCUCAACGGAGGGAAGCGGCAGAGGCGGCAACGUUCUUUAUCAACCUGGAUCAACACGGCCGGGCCGGCGAGGGGAGGAGCGGCGGCGGCGUUCUUUAUCAACCUGGAUCAACACGGCCGGGCCGGCGAGGGGAGGAGCGGCGGCGGCGUUGGUCGUGGCCGGCGAGGAGAGGAGCGGCGGCGGCGUUGAGUGGCUGUCCCCCGUCGGAGCUAGGCGAGAAAGGAGCGGGCGGCGGCGCCGCAACUUCACAUCCCGGAUCCGUCCGAACCACAUGAAGAUUCGUGGAGUGUUGUUGCCCCUUCAGGAUACCUGAUGUUGGGCCGAGAGCCUUGGACGAAGAUAGGUCAUCGCCAUGAACGAGUCAACAUGUGUGUUAGCUAGAGUGGACGAACCGUGUUCUUAGUGACAUCUAGUUCACUUUUUUACGUAUCAAAAGGAUCGAACGAUUAAAAGCCUUUUAUCUAUGUUGAUAAAUUUAUUCUCUUAUAAAUUUUCAUGUUUUUUCUAAUUC